UGCUCUACUCCUUACUCAUAACAAUUGCUUUUCAAGAGCUUUGUGGUCUACAGUUUUUUGCAUCAUGGCAAAAUAUGAGUUUCACCUUUUAUUUUGAAGCAGAAGACUUCACAAAACAAUGCUUAGAAUCAUUAUCUGUUGCUCUUUAAGUGAAAUAAUGAUGUGUGCUAGCUGCAAAGGUAGAACUCAGCUGGAACAAGAUUGAUUCAAAAGGAUUAGUUGCAAUACUAGUAAGGUUGGAUUAGAUAUAGAAAACAGGCAGAAAACUUAGUGUAAGGGGAUGUUAGCUACAUGAGGGGAAAAGAUAAGAUGUUUUUAACUAAGUAACAUUGGUUAAUGUCAGAUUGGAACUGAUUUGGUGGACUUUGAAAGUCUUAUGGGAAGACUGAGAGUGCCUACAAAUAAUAUGGUUGAGGCAAUAAGGGAAAAAUCCAAGACUAAUGGCUUAAUAGAUGCUAUUGGGUUACAGUAACAAUUAAUUCACAGUUGCUUGUUCUCAAGUUUCACCAUAAGCUUUCAUUGGAAUAUUGGAAAUUUCAUCCAGGAAUAUUUCCAUUUCUAUAAAUAUUGCAAAAUGAACAUGCUUGGAUGUGUUUGAUUGGCCAUUGGAUUGCUAAAUAUGUAUAACUGUUAAUAAAUUUUAUCUCAUGUCUUGGUUCUUUGCUUUUGUCUCAGGGGUGGACCAUUUUU
rnacentral:misc_RNA from 1 species